AGGGUAAUAGCUCAGUGGUAGAGCGCCUGCUUAGUAUGCACAAGGUCCUGGGUUCAAACCCCAGUACCUCCA
rnacentral:tRNA from 1 species